rnacentral:rRNA from 1 species
UACAGAGGGCCCAAGCGUUGUUCGGAUUCACUGGGCGUAAAGGGUGCGUAGGUGGUGAGGUAAGUCGGAUGUGAAAGCUCGGAGCUCAACUCCGAAAUGGCAUUGGAAACUACCUUGCUCGAGGGUUGGAGGGGGGACUGGAAUACUUGGUGUAGCAGUGAAAUGCGUAGAUAUCAAGUGGAACACCAGUGGCGAAGGCGAGUCCCUGGACAACUCCUGACACUGAGGCACGAAAGCUAGGGGAGCAAACGGG